rfam:Salmo salar isolate Sally breed double haploid chromosome ssa24, whole genome shotgun sequence.
AUGAUACCAAUUUGUAAGUCGCUCUGGAUAAGAGCGUCUGCUAAAUGACUUAAA